rnacentral:rRNA from 1 species
AGGAGGCAGCAGUGAGGAAUUUUGGACAAUGGGGGCAACCCUGAUCCAGCCAUUCCGCGUGAGUGAAGAAGGCCUUCGGGUUGUAAAGCUCUUUUGUCCGGAACGAAACGGAUACGUCUAAUACGCGUGUCUACUGACGGUACCGGAAGAAUAAGCACCGGCUAACUACGUGCCAGCAGCCGCGGUAAUACGUAGGGUGCGAGCGUUAAUCGGAAUUACUGGGCGUAAAGCGUGCGCAGGCGGUUUUGUAAGCCAGAUGUGAAAUCCCCGGGCUUAACCUGGGAAUGGCAUUUGGGACUGCAAGGCUGGAGUACGGCAGAGGAGACUGGAAUUCCUGGUGUAGCAGUGAAAUGCGUAGAGAUCAGGAGGAAUACCGAUGGCGAAGGCAGGUCUCUGGGCUGAUACUGACGCUCAUGCACGAAAGCGUGGGCAGCAAACAGGAUUAGAUACCCCUGUAGUCCU